CUAGUGGCGACGGGUGAGUAACACGUUGGAACCUAGCCCCAAAGUGAGGAAUAAGCCACCGAAAGGUGGUCUAAUACUUCAUAAUAUCCAUCUCGUAUGGAUUAAAGCUUUAUGCGCUUUGGAGGGGCCUGCGUAACAUUAGCUUGUUGGUGAGGUAAAAGCUCACCAAGGCUUCGAUGUUUAACUGGUUUGAGAGGAUGACCAGUCACACUGGGACUGAGAUACGGCCCAGACUCCUACGGGAGGCAGCAGUAAGGAAUCUUCCACAAUGGGGCAACCCUGAUGGAGCAAUACCGCGUGCAGGAUGAAGCGUUUCGGCGUGUAAACUGCUUUUAUCACCGAAGAUUAUGACUGUAGGUGAAGAAUAAGGACCGGCUAACUACGUG
rnacentral:rRNA from 1 species